GAAAUAGGUCUCGUUGGUGACCAGCGGAGGGACAUUACCGAGUUUACAACUCCCAAACCCCAAUGUGAACGUUACCAAACUGUUGCCUCGGCGGGAUUUCUGCCCCGGGCGCGUCGCAGCCCCGGACCAAGGCGCCCGCCGGAGGACCAAUUUACAAACUCUUUUGUAUAUCCCAUCGCGGAUUCUUUACAUUCUGAGCUUUCUCGGCGCUCCUAGCGAGCGUUUCGAAAAUGAAUCAAAACUUUCAACAACGGAUCUCUUGGUUCUGGCAUCGAUGAAGAACGCAGCGAAAUGCGAUAAGUAAUGUGAAUUGCAGAAUUCAGUGAAUCAUCGAAUCUUUGAACGCACAUUGCGCCCGCCAGUAUUCUGGCGGGCAUGCCUGUCCGAGCGUCAUUUCAACCCUCGAACCCCUCCGGGGGGUCGGCGUUGGGGAUCGGCACUUACCUGCCGGCCCCGAAAUACAGUGGCGGUCUCGCCGCAGCCUCUCCUGCGCAGUAGUUUGCACACUCGCACCGGGAGCGCGGCGCGUCCACGGCCGUAAAACAACCCAAACUUCUGAAAUGUUGACCUCGGAUCAGGUAGGAAUACCCGCUGAACUUAAGCAUAUCAAAAGCCGGAGGAA
rnacentral:rRNA from 1 species